AGUGAACGCUGGCGGUAGGCCUAACACAUGCAAGUCGAACGGCAGCACAGUAAGAGCUUGCUCUUACGGGUGGCGAGUGGCGGACGGGUGAGGAAUACAUCGGAAUCUACUUUUUCGGGGGGGAUAACGUAGGGAAACUUACGCUAAUACCGCAUACGACCUACGGGUGAAAGCAGGGGAUCUUCGGACCUUGCGCGAAUGAAUGAGCCGAUGUCGGAUUAGCUAGUUGGCGGGGUAAAGGCCCACCAAGGCGACGAUCCGUAGCUGGUCUGAGAGGAUGAUCAGCCACACUGGAACUGAGACACGGUCCAGACUCCUACGGGAGGCAGCAGUGGGGAAUAUUGGACAAUGGGCGCAAGCCUGAUCCAGCCAUACCGCGUGGGUGAAGAAGGCCUUCGGGUUGUAAAGCCCUUUUGUUGGGAAAGAAAAGCAGCAGGUUAAUCCCCCGCUGUUCUGACGGUACCCAAAGAAUAAGCACCGGCUAACUUCGUG
rnacentral:rRNA from 1 species